ensembl:lncRNA
GGCGUGUCUCCUACUUGGUUCAACUUGAAGUUGCUACAGCCUGGAGACUGAAGUCAACGUCGAGUAACACCGUUUAGAUAUCUUGACCAGAGCAUUACCGGUUAUCUUCACCCAAGAGACCUACUGUUGGACAUUCUUUUUGGAUUUAAAGGUAAACACAUUGUUAGUCACAAUGUCUAGUUACUGGGCCAAAAGGAGAAGAAUAUUGAAAGGAGUCAAGAGGGAUAAAAAGGAUAUUGCGGCUACAAACAAUGCUCUACUACUCUCUUUUUUCUGACUUUGACCAAGUAACUCCCCAUGUUAAUGAACAUCUACAUGGAAUGGCUACAACAAACCAUGUACAAACUGUAACCCCUGUAGCACAGGAAAUAAUUGUUGAUGAGGCAUGUGAAGCUGGUGAGAUGUUUUCCUCAAGCACAGAAGAUGAUGAAGAGGAAGAGGAUUGCCUAAGGACACAAUUGGCAGGGUGGGCUAUUGACAACAUGAUCCACCAUGUGGCACUUGGUAAGCUUUUAACCAUUUUGUCCAAGGAUCAUCCAACCCUUCCUAAAGACCCAAGAACCCGUCUUAAAACGGUGACUUGUGUUAAAACAACAGAACUCUCAGGUGGUGUAUUUGUAGUUUGGUGUGAUGCUUAAUUUGUGAUCUUGCCACUAAACUAUAUUUGUUAGAUUUUCACAUUCCUGUUUCCUAUUUUUCAGAACAAGGUUUCUCACCAGUGGUCCAGUCUCCACUUCUAAGAGCCAAGAGUUUGAGUAAAACUGGAGGAGAACCAAGCCUGCUGGAGGGGAAGCAAUGCACGAGCAGCUUGAUAACUGCAGCUCACUUCAAGAUCAGUUGAAGCAAGUUGGGACAAUGAUGAAGACCUUUGCUCGCACAAGGCAAUCAGGCGCAGAUCAGACCCUAAUGCUGCGACGUCUUGGGAGAGUUUGGCGAUGUUGUGCGUAGCAUGGAAAACAAAAUGGACACAUUGCUGCAACAUUUCAGUGCCAAUGUGUCUGUUGGAGAGUUAUCCCUGCCCAGUGGUCUUUUACUCCCCAUAAACACCCAGGAAGAUUUGGCGUUGCUUGACAGCAGCUUGAGGCAGGAUAGCGAGCUCCAGGAACGAUUUCGAAAGCACCAGGGUGGCGUCUGAAAUUAGGCUGGAAAUCAUAUUCUCCAGUGGAACG